UGGGGAAUAUUGGACAAUGGGCGAAAGCCUGAUCCAGCCAUGCCGCGUGUGUGAAGAAGGUCUUCGGAUUGUAAAGCACUUUAAGUUGGGAGGAAGGGCAGUAAGCGAAUACCUUGCUGUUUUGACGUUACCGACAGAAUAAGCACCGGCUAACUCUGUGCCAGCAGCCGCGGUAAUACAGAGGGUGCAAGCGUUAAUCGGAAUUACUGGGCGUAAAGCGUGCGUAGGUGGGUCGUUAAGUUGAAUGUGAAAGCCCCGGGCUCAACCUGUGAACUGCAUCCAAAACUGUCGAGCUAGAGUAGGGCAGAGGGUCGUGGAAUUUCCUGUGUAGCGGUGAAAUGCGUAGAUAUAGGAAGGAACACCAGUGGCGAAGGCGACCACCUGGGCUCAUACUGACACUGUGGUGCGAAAGCGUGGGGAGCAAACAGGA
rnacentral:rRNA from 1 species